rnacentral:rRNA from 1 species
UACGGAGGGAGCUAGCGUUGUUCGGAAUUACUGGGCGUAAAGCGCACGUAGGCGGCUUUGUAAGUUAGAGGUGAAAGCCCAGGGCUUAACCCUGGAAUUGCCUUUAAGACUGCAUCGCUAGAAUUGUGGAGAGGUAAGUGGAAUUCCGAGUGUAGAGGUGAAAUUCGUAGAUAUUCGGAAGAACACCAGUGGCGAAGGCGACUUACUGGACACAUAUUGACGCUGAGGAGCGAAAGCGUGGGGGAGCAAACAGG